GUAGUACUCCCUCCGUCCGGAAAUACUUGUCCGAGGAAUGAAUGUAUCUAGAUGUAUUUUAGUUCUAGUUACAUCCAUUUAUAUGAAAGUAUUUCGGACGGAGGGAGUACACA
rnacentral:pre_miRNA from 1 species